rnacentral:rRNA from 1 species
AUUGAACGCUGGCGGCAUGCCUUACACAUGCAAGUCGAACGGCAGCGCGGGGCAACCUGGCGGCGAGUGGCGAACGGGUGAGUAAUAUAUCGGAACGUACCCUGGAGUGGGGGAUAACGUAGCGAAAGUUACGCUAAUACCGCAUACGAUCCAAGGAUGAAAGCAGGGGACCGCAAGGCCUUGUGCUCCAGGAGCGGCCGAUAUCUGAUUAGCUAGUUGGUGGGGUAAAGGCCUACCAAGGCAUCGAUCAGUAGCUGGUCUGAGAGGACGACCAGCCACACUGGAACUGAGACACGGUCCAGACUCCUACGGGAGGCAGCAGUGGGGAAUUUUGGACAAUGGGCGCAAGCCUGAUCCAGCAAUGCCGCGUGAGUGAAGAAGGCCUUCGGGUUGUAAAGCUCUUUUGUCAGGGAAGAAACGGUCGUGGCUAAUAUCCAUGGCUAAUGACGGUACCUGAAGAAUAAGCACCGGCUAACUACGUGCCAGCCGCCGCCGUAAUAC